UGAGACCUACGGGACGCAGCAGUGGGGAAUAUUGCACAAUGGGGGGAACCCUGAUGCAGCGACGCCGCGUGAGUGAAGAAGUAUUUCGGUAUGUAAAGCUCUAUCAGCAGGGAAGAAAAUGACGGUACCUGACUAAGAAGCCCCGGCUAACUACGUGCCAGCAGCCGCGGUAAUACGUAGGGGGCAAGCGUUAUCCGGAUUUACUGGGUGUAAAGGGAGCGUAGACGGCAGAGAAAGUCUGAAGUGAAAGCCCGCGGCCCACCUGCGGGACUGCUUUGGAAACUGCCCG
rnacentral:rRNA from 1 species